UGAUGGCGGCCGUGACGUUGGACGAGUCCAGGGGCGGCCUCCAGACGCCUGGAGGAAGCCUCACCCUCGUCUGCAAGGGCUCUGGAUUCACCUUCAGCAGUUCUACCAUGCACUGGGUGCGACAGGCACCCGGCAAGGGGCUGGAGUGGGUCGCAGGUAUUUACAGUGAUGGUAGUUACACAUACUACGCGCCGGCAGUGAAGGGCCGUGCCACCAUCUCGAGGGACAACGGGCAGAGCACAGUGAAGCUGCAGCUGAACAGCCUCAAGGCUGAGGACACUGGCACCUAUUUCUGCGCGAAAAAUGAUGAUAGUGGAUGCAAUGCUGAUGAGAUCGAUGCCGCUCGCGGGUUUUGGUGGCGUCACCUGCAGCCCAGAUUGAGAGCCCAAGUGGUGGAGCUGAGCCCGGAGUGUGCAGAACUGAGACCCGAUCUGCAGGAGUGA